rnacentral:lncRNA from 1 species
AUGAUUUUUAUGAAAUUUUUUUUUCAUCAAUCAUACUGCUAUGGCCACAGACUCUCAGACUUAGUCUCUCAAAUCUCAUAGGACUACUCCUCUCUAUCAAGAUCGAUAGAUUUUAUUUUGAUGCGCAUCCUUCUCCUACAGUGGACCAACUAUUGCUAACAUCUACUAUAAGAGCUCAUUGAGAUCCAUGUUUAUAUGUCAGUCAAACUCUAGCAGUUUCAUUGUGAGUAGUAGUACCAUCUCAGAUCAGAGGAUCAUUCAUACAACUACAGCAUC